CUUGUUUGAAUACUUAAACUCUUAGGCAACAAAUAGUCAAGACUCCUGACCUUUAGAGUCUCAAGGGAGAUGAUGCUGACCAACUUUUCUGUCUAGACUGUGAACACCUCCAAGGCAAGUUACGCCCAACGUGAGUCCUUUAAUGAGUCAGUCAAAUUCCCAGGUCGAUACUACCAAUGUUCUCACAUGUGGUAUUGUUCUUCCAUUCUUCCUAGUGUUUUUCCAAGGCCUGGUUAUGAAGAGGUGGGAAAAAUGGUGUCUGUGUCAUUACUCUUGGUUGGCACGAGAAGCUCAGUCAGUGGGAGAAUAAGAUCAGAAAGAGGAGGGAGCUUCUCUGAACCAGCCCUAUCUCUUCUUGUCCCUUCAGCAUUCAGGCUGUGUUUUUAAUGUUCCCCGAGCACAUCUCCAAGACUGCAAAUGUAACUGGAAAUACUGAACAUACAAAACAGUGAUGCCUCAUAGGCACCAAUAUUUCUUUUGGGAGUCCUCAGUGGAGAUUAUGAUACCUUGUGAACAGGAAUGGAUGGAAGCAGGGGAGAGAAAGAUGUUCAUGAGUACUUGGCCAGAAAUGAUAGUGCAUGUCAACCCUCUUGGGGCAUCAAAAACUAAGACACAUUCAAGAAUGCACUGUUCUUUAUAUUUAUGCAAAGGAGAAACCAGAGUCACCCUCAGUUAAGUCUGUGAAGAUAAUGAGAUGCUUCGGUGAAAGAAUACAUUGGUGUGAGAAUGAUGCAACUUAACUCAUCACUCAGGACCCAGCCCUGGCGUCAGCUUCACAGAAUUGGAGAAACCAUGACCUGGCCACCAGUAGGCUAACCAAUCCCAAAUAAUUUACAAAAUUGUAUGACCUGUACCAAUCUGUACAGGACCUGAAUUUCAAGUAGAAUUUAGUCCAUCCAACUCACGAAGCUGCCCUCUUCACAUCUGCUAUAUGGAUCAAAUUGAGAACAGGAAAGAAUUCUUUAAACCUUUCCCUAGAAACUGAUCUUUCAAGCUUUUGGGUGGUUGAUAUCAAGAGAGGCAUUUGCCUUCUCUCUGGGAUUAUUGGUCUUUUAUGUUUAAUGGAUGUCAUUUCAGGAGCCAUCAGGUCAAUUAAUCUCAUCACCGAGGAUCAUCUUACAGGCUCAUAAAUAUUAAAAUCACACAUGACGACUGAAGGCUUACUCUCUAUAUGGUCAAAUGAUGGAUACUUAGUCACAUUUUGAAACAACCGGACACCUAGUACUUGCCUACUUAGAGGUUUAAUUGUGUUUUGCGGAUUAUAGAAAAAACCAAAUGAUAUGAUAAGACAUAGGCUACUAGUGUUUCUUUAAAGUUCACAUGGUAAUUUCCAUUAUUUUUUAUUGAAGACUGCUGACUGGAAAGAAUGAAUUCGUGACAGGGGAGGGGUGGAGAAAAAGUGAUGGGGCAACAGAUGGAUGGGCUGGAAAGAACACAGCCAGGACUGUGUGGCGACAGGGCGGCCACAGAACAGGAAGCAGCUUGAGUGGAAGAUGUCACACAGACCAGCUUCUAACAUUUACUGAGGCAGGAGGACAAAGACACCCAUAUCACACCCUGGAUCUAAAUACUUAAAGGUGAUAAAUGAGGCCAAGACAUUUUCAGAAUUUAUGCUCUAUCCUCCCUCCUUGAAAAAUAUACCUUUAUAAGAGAAAAACACAUAAAGCUAAGAUGUCUGAAUUUUAUUAUUUUUACUCAUAUCUGGGUGUUCUGUUUAUGGGAUAGCAGUGUUUGGAUGAGAAAGAAAAUAGAAAUAUGCCUAAAGUAAAUUAUUAAAUAUUUAUGCAAUAUGUUUUAUUUUAUGCCUGUAUUUUAGAAAUAUCCCUAAUUACAUUGUUACCAAGAUGUUGACUUAAUUUAACAGAAAUAAACUGGAGGAUUAAAGUAGAAUGUGAUUAUAU
ensembl:lncRNA